UGAAAUCUCGGGGCUCAACCUCGAAACUGCGUCUGAAACUACAGGUCUAGAAUCUCGGAGGGGGAAGGGGAAUUUCGCAUGUAGGGGUAAAAUCCGUAGAUAUGCGAAGGAACACCAGGGGCGAAGGCGCCUUCCUGGACGAGUAUUGACGCUGAGGCGCGAAAGCGUGGGGAUCAAACAGGAUUAGAUACCCUGGUAGUCCACGCUGUAAACGAUGAACACUAGGUAUUGGGGGAUUUGACCCCUUCAGUGCCGCAGCUAACGCGUUAAG
rnacentral:rRNA from 1 species